GACGAACGCUGGCGGCGUGCUUAACACAUGCAAGUCGAACGGAAAGGCCCUGCUUUUGUGGGGUGCUCGAGUGGCGAACGGGUGAGUAACACGUGAGUAACCUGCCCUUGACUUUGGGAUAACUUCAGGAAACUGGGGCUAAUACCGGAUAGGAGCUCCUGCUGCAUGGUGGGGGUUGGAAAGUUUCGGCGGUUGGGGAGGGACUCGCGGCUUAUCAGCUUGUUGGUGGGGGAGUGGCUUACCAAGGCUUUGACGGGUAGCCGGCCUGAGGGGGUGACCGGCCACAUUGGGACGGAGAUACGGCCCGAACUCCUACGGGAGGCAGCAGUGGGGAAUAUUGCACAAUGGGCGGAAGCCUGAUGCAGCAACGCCGCGUGCGGGAUGACGGCCUUCGGGUUGUAAACCGCUUUCGCCUGUGACGAAGCGUGAGUGACGGUAAUGGGUAAAGAAGCACCGGCUAACUACGUG
rnacentral:rRNA from 1 species